GGGGAUUUAGCUCAGUGGUAGAGCGCUUGCCUAGCCCGCAAGGCCCUGGGUUCAGUCCCCA
rnacentral:tRNA from 1 species